rnacentral:rRNA from 1 species
GAUGAACGCUGGCGGCGUGCCUAAUACAUGCAAGUCGAGCGAACAGACGAGGAGCUUGCUCCUCUGACGUUAGCUGCGGACGGGUGAGUAGCACGUGGAUAACCUACCUAUAAGACUGGGAUAACUUCGGGAAACCGGAGCUAAUACCGGAUAAUAUAUUUAACCGCAUGGUUCAAUAGUGAAAGACGGUUUUGCUGUCACUUAUAGAUGGAUCCGAGCCGCAUUAGCUAGUUGGUAAGGUAACGGGUUACCAAGGCGACGAUGCGUAGCCGACCUGAGAGGGUGAUCGGCCACCCGGGCACUGAGACACGGUCCAGACUCCUACGGGAGGCAGCAGUAGGGAAUCUUCCGCGAGGGGGGAAAGCCUGACGGAGCAAAGCCGCGUGAGUGAUGAAGGUCUUCGGAUCGUAAAACUCUGUUAUUAGGGAAGAACAAAUGUGUAAGUAACUAUGCACGUCUUGACGGUACCUAAUCAGAAAGCCACGGCUAACUACGUG